GGAGAAGAGGCACCGAAGCAUCAACUAUCUUGGAACUCUGCCAACUAGAACCUCGGCCUCAACUGACACAUCCAAACUAAUGGCUGAGUGUCUUUUUUAGCAGCAUCAAGCAACUCCUUUACAAUACCACCCAAACCGCUGAGACAAGUGAUGUCACCUGCCAAUACUGUAGAUUGAAUAACCAGGGAAGGCUGAGGAAUGCAAGUGAAUGUAAAAACCACCUGGAGGGAAGCAUUGCAGCAAGAAAGGAACAGCAAGUGCAGAGGCCUGAGGCAGAACCAGCAGGGAAAAUGCUUUGAGGUGAGGCAGGUUCCAUGAAAACCUGGAAGAAAUAUUCCUGAGGACCAUCCAACACCAUUUCCCUGAGAGACAAGCUGUAAGUGCUGUUCUAGUUACAGAUCCGAGUCCCUGGUACAUUGAUAUCAAGUAAGGGUGCAUGCAGCUCAGAAGGCAGUUUCCAUUACACUGGACAAGAGUGUGGCUGCCUGAGUCCUAGAACUGCAGUGGCUUCUGCUGACAAUGUGAGGAGUAGCUGCCCUGUCCAGAGUGUGGCCCCGCACGCUGCCCCCUCCCCUGGAGGGACUGAAGAGAACAGCUUGGAGCAUGCCCUUCCCUUUCCCUUAUCUCGCCCACUAUGCUAAUGCUGCUCAUCCCUCAAGAUCCGAGUUAUUCCUCCUCAAUUCAAUACACACCAAUCAACUGC
rnacentral:lncRNA from 10 species